AACGUACGCUGGCGGCAGGCUUAACACAUGCAAGUCGAACUCAUCCUUCGGGGUGAGUGGCAGACGGGUGAGUAACGCGUGGGAACGUGCGCUUCAGCUCGGGAUAACCCUGGGAAAUCUGGCCUAAUACCGUAUACGUGCGGGCGCAUAAAGAUUUAUAGCUGAAGUAACGUCACGUGUCUGAUUAGCGAGUUGGGGGGGUAAUGGCCCACGAAGGCGACGAUCAGUAGCUGGUCUGAGAGGAAGAUCAGCCACGUUGGGACUGAGACACGGCCCAAAAUCCUACGGGAUGCAGCAGUGGGGAAUAUUGGACAAUGGGCGCAAGCCUGAUCCAGCCAUGCCGCGUGAGUGAUGAAGGCCUUAGGGUUGUAAAGCUCUUUCGUCCGGGACGAUAAUGACGGUAACGGAAGAAGAAGCCCCGGCUAACUUCGUGCCAGCCGCCGCAGUAA
rnacentral:rRNA from 1 species